AGUGAACGCUGGCGGUAGGCCUAACACAUGCAAGUCGAACGGCAGCACAGAGGAGCUUGCUCCUUGGGUGGCGAGUGGCGGACGGGUGAGGAAUACAUCGGAAUCUACUUUUUCGUGGGGGAUAACGUAGGGAAACUUACGCUAAUACCGCAUACGACCUACGGGUGAAAGCAGGGGACCUUCGGGCCUUGCGCGAUUGAAUGAGCCGAUGUCGGAUUAGCUAGUUGGCGGGGUAAAGGCCCACCAAGGCGACGAUCCGUAGCUGGUCUGAGAGGAUGAUCAGCCACACUGGAACUGAGACACGGUCCAGACUCCUACGGGAGGCAGCAGUGGGGAAUAUUGGACAAUGGGCGCAAGCCUGAUCCAGCCAUACCGCGUGGGUGAAGAAGGCCUUCGGGUUGUAAAGCCCUUUUGUUGGGAAAGAAAUCCAGCCGGCUAAUACCUGGUUGGGAUGACGGUACCCAAAGAAUAAGCACCGGCUAACUUCGUGCCAGCCGCCGCCGUAACAC
rnacentral:rRNA from 1 species